UACGAAGGGGACUAGCGUUGUUCGGAAUUACUGGGCGUAAAGCGCACGUAGGCGGAUUGUUAAGUGAGGGGUGAAAGCCCAGGGCUCAACCCUGGAACUGCCUCUCAUACUGGCAAUCUUGAGUUCGGAAGAGGUAAGUGGAAUUGCGAGUGUAGAGGUGAAAUUCGUAGAUAUUCGCAGGAACACCAGUGGCGAAGGCGGCUUACUGGUCCGGUUCUGACGCUGAGGCGCGAAAGCGUGGGGAGCAAACAGG
rnacentral:rRNA from 1 species